AAAACAAGAAGAGAAAUAGAGCAUUUUAUAUCUUCCAAAGUAUUGAAUCUGAUAGAUGUACGCCCUGAUUUUGUGUAUUUGUAUAUCCAGCGCUCCCGGAAAUCUUGUUUAAAUUUUCGCCUAGCUAAAAAACCUCUAGACAAGGAUUGAACGGCAACAGAAUUAUUUUCUGCUUUUCGUUCUUCUUCUCGAUUUUUGCGCUCCAUGGCUGCUUUUCGCAACAACUGAGCGCGAUCGUUGGAGACACGUUUUCCCCCGAGAUUAACAUUUCUUUUGGCUUUAAACGUUCCUUCAAAACUUAAAGGCAUUCUUCAAAAAUUUCUUAUAUCAAUGCGGUUUUUAGGUAUCAAAUACAGAACUCACAAGUGUAAAAAAGCAAAUAUAAAAAUCAAACAGCCUUACACUCUAAUAAGGCAAAGAUUUUAUGAAAGACUUAGAGAAAAUAGAAUUAUUAAAAGUUUAAAAUCUAACCGUUUAGUAAAUUAUAGCGUUUUAAGAACUUUCGAGAUGAUUAGGUAAACAAGAACUGCUGGUUUAGCGCAUGAGUAACGGUUAUAUUAA